AUUGAACGCUGGCGGAAUGCUUUACACAUGCAGGUCGAACGGCAGCACGGGAGCAAUCCUGGUGGCGAGUGGCGAACGGGUGAGUAAUAUAUCGGAACGUGCCCAGCCGUGGGGAUAACGUAGCGAAAGCUACGCUAAUACCGCAUACGAUCUACGGAUGAAAGCGGGGGAUCGCAAGACCUCGCGCGAUUGGAGCGGCCGAUAUCAGAUUAGGUAGUUGGUGAGGUAAAGGCUCACCAAGCCGACGAUCUGUAGCUGGUCUGAGAGGACGACCAGCCACACUGGAACUGAGACACGGUCCAGACUCCUACGGGAGGCAGCAGUGGGGAAUUUUGGACAAUGGGCGCAAGCCUGAUCCAGCAAUGCCGCGUGCAGGAUGAAGGCCUCGGUUGUAAC
rnacentral:rRNA from 1 species